CAAUAGCGUAUAUUAAAGUUGUUGCAGUUAGAACGCUCGUAGUCGGAUUUCGGGGCGGGCCGACCGGUCUGCCGAUGGGUACGCACUGGUCGGCGCGUCCUUCCUUCCGGAGACCGUUCCUACUCUUAACUGAGCGGGGGCGGGAGACGGAUCGUUUACUUUGAAAAAAUCAGAGUGUUUCGAGCAGGCAGCUCGCUCUUGCAUGGAUUAGCAUGGGAUAAUGAAAUAGGACUUUGGUGCUAUUUUGUUGGUUUCGAACACCGAAGUAAUGAUUAAAAGGGACAGUCAGGGGCACUCGUAUUCCGCCGAGAGAGGUGAAAUUCUCAGACCAGCGGAAGACGAACUACUGCGAAAGCAUUUGCCAGGGAUGUUUUCACUG
rnacentral:rRNA from 1 species